UCUGCUCGAUCACAUCAGCGACUUCUUGCUUGAUCCGGUUGAUAUCAGUGUGGUUCAGUGAGGAAUUGUGUACGGUGGGGAGUUCAUGGUUUUGGUAGCAAACCAUACAACAAUUCCUUAUUCCAGCAGCAGUAGACACACCGGUGAUUUCCAGCCGUGGUUUACACUCUGAUCACGAGGCAUCAGUGAUUAUCAUCAGAUUUGGACUUUGAUUUGAGACUGUGUCUCGGCGAGGGAUCU